rnacentral:rRNA from 1 species
GGGGUACCGAGUGCGGGUUUCACGAGCCCAACCUCCCACCCGUGUUUACCAUGACCGCGUUGCCUCGGCGGGCCCACUGGGGCCUGGCCCCGGUCGCCGGGGGGCUUCUGCCCCCGGGUCCGCGCCCGCCGAAGCGCCCUGGAACCCUGUCUGAAUAGUGAGUCUGAGUCUAUGAUUAAAUCAUUAAAACUUUCAACAACGGAUCUCUUGGUUCCGGCAUCGAUGAAGAACGCAGCGAAAUGCGAUAAGUAAUGUGAAUUGCAGAAUUCCGUGAAUCAUCGAAUCUUUGAACGCACAUUGCGCCCCCUGGCAUUCCGGGGGGCAUGCCUGUCCGAGCGUCAUUUCUGCCCUCCAGCCCGGCUGGGUGUUGGGUGCUGUCCCCCCGGGGACACGCCCCAAAGGCAGUGGCGGCGCCGCGUCGGGUCCUCGAGCGUAUGGGGCUUUGUCACCCGCUCGGGACGGACUCGUCGGCGCUGGUCUUCCUCCAGGCGACCCUUCGGGGCCCGUCUACCUUCGGUUGACCUCGGAUCAGGUAGGGUUACCCGCUGAACUUAAGCAUAUCAAUAAGCGGAGGAAU